rnacentral:rRNA from 1 species
CCUACGGGAGGCUGCAGUGAGGAAUAUUGGUCAAUGGGCGUAAGCCUGAACCAGCCAAGCCGCGUGAGGGAUGAAGGUUCUAUGCAUCGUAAACUUCUUUUAUAAGGGGAUAAAGUGCGGGACGUGUCCCGUUUCGUAUGUACCUUAUGAAUAAGGAUCGGCUAACUCCGUGCCAGCAGCCGCGGUAAUACGGAGGAUCCGAGCGUUAUCCGGAUUUUUUGGGUUUAAAGGGUGCGUAGGCGGCCUUUUAAGUCAGCGGUGAAAGUCGGGGGCUCAACCCUAGAAGAGCCGUUGAAACUGGGUGGCUUGAGAAGGUGUGAGGCAGGCGGAAUGCGUGGUGUAGCGGUGAAAUGCUUAGAUAUCGCGCAGAACCCCGAGUGCGAAGGCAGCCUGCC